rnacentral:sRNA from 1 species
ACUACGCCUUGAACAAGGCGCGUGAAGC